rnacentral:rRNA from 1 species
CGCAUCUGUGCAUGCAGCAUAUCAAUAAGCGGAGGAAAAGAGGGCUAUUACCUACGCUUAGGAUGUUGACACACGCGCGUGCUCGGCUCUAUACAUGACUCUGUGCAUAUCAAUAAGCGGAGGAAAAGUGCCUACGCUUAGGAUGUUGACACACGCGCGUGCUCGACUCUAUACAUGACUCUGCGCAUAUCAAUAAGCGGAGGAAAAGAAACUAACAAGGAUUCCCUUAGUAACGGCGAGUGAAGCGGGAAGAGCUCAAAUUUGAAAUCUUCAAGGUUUUACCUUGACGAAUUGUAGUUUAAAGAAGUGUUUUCUGUUGAAGUUUUGGUAAAAGUUCUUUGGAAUAGGACAUCAUAGAGGGUGAGAAUCCCGUAUUUGACCAUUAUUUUCAGCUGUGUGAUACGCUUUCAAAGAGUCGGAUUGUUUGGGAAUGCAGUCCAAAAUGGGUGGUAAAUUUCAUCUAAAGCUAAAUAUUGGCGAGAGACCGAUAGCGAACGAGUACCGUGAGGGAAAGAUGAAAAGAACUUUGAAAAGAGAGUUAAACAGUACGUGAAAUUGUCAAAAGGGAAGCGUUUGACACCAGUGUUGUUUUCUCGAAAAUCAAUUAAAAAGAGUUAGAUUUUGUUGUGUAUUGACCUUAACAGCUUGCAUUUCAAUUUUCUUGCUUUUUUUAAUGCACUUUUCGUUUAACAAGUCAACAUCAGUUUCUUUUGUUGUAAAAAGGUCAUUGGAAGGUGGCUUUCUUUUCGGAGAAAGUGUUUAUAGCCUUUGACUCCUGCAAUCGGAGAGACUGAGGUCUGCAGCGUAGAUCCUUCGGGGUUAGAUACAUUUGUGCUAAGUUAUAGCUUUUUAUAGACAACUUGUUGACUAUGAUUAGUCUUGUAGCUUACUCGCUUAUGCUAUUUUACCUACGCUUAGGAUGUUGACACACGCGCGUGCUCG